GAACGCUGGCGGCGUGCUUAACACAUGCAAGUCGAACGGAAAGGCCCUGCUUUUGUGGGGUGCUCGAGUGGCGAACGGGUGAGUAACACGUGAGUAACCUGCCCUUGACUUUGGGAUAACUUCAGGAAACUGGGGCUAAUACCGGAUAGGAGCUCCUGCUGCAUGGUGGGGGUUGGAAAGUUUCGGCGGUUGGGGAUGGACUCGCGGCUUAUCAGCUUGUUGGUGGGGUAGUGGCUUACCAAGGCUUUGACGGGUAGCCGGCCUGAGAGGGUGACCGGCCACAUUGGGACUGAGAUACGGCCCAGACUGCUACGGGCGGCAGCAGUGGGGAAUAUUGCACAAUGGGCGGAAGCCUGAUGCAGCAACGCCGCGUGCGGGAUGACGGCCUUCGGGUUGUAAACCGCUUUAGCCUGUGACGAAGCGUGAGUGACGGUAAUGGGUAAAGAAGCACCGGCUAACUACGUG
rnacentral:rRNA from 1 species